AGGUCUACGUUCUCUGCCAAUUCUACUACCACAAACAGUUAUCUCAAGAAAGCAAACUUUCAACUUUCCUUCAAUAAAAUGAUUGCUAUUGUAUAUCAAUCGGUAGAGCUUGCAUGUCUGUUCUCUCCCAUUGCUCAAAAUGAGCACAUAGUCUACUACAUCAUUUGUCUAAAGGAUGGGCUUAGUUAGAAGUUAUAAGGACUGCUAAAUUUUGGAGCAUUUGCUAAGAGAAAAUGCUCAAAGGCUCUUCUCUUUAACUUCAAAUUGUGAUUGGCCUGGCUUGGGUGGCAUGCCCAGUUCUGGGCUAAUUGCUGUGUAGGAAACGAUUGUUGGGGCUGGUUGCCGUCACAUGCUCCUUUCCAGGUAUUUCCAUGCCAGGAUUUUUCCCAUCGUUCGGGUCUCUGCUCCACUAUCAGUUCUUCAGUAUCCCACAGGUGGUUUACAGCUGCCAUCUUCUACAGCAAGGGAACAUUCUCCAUUGUUGCUUCAUCUUCACUGAAGAUUCAGCCAAGUGCUUUCUCUAUCUUGUACAGUUUGCUAAGUUACAUAUCAUAGAUGUUAUUUACUAUAUAUAGUCCCUAGUCAAAUCACUCCGAAUACCCCAAUACUUGUAUGUUAUCAUGUCUUUUUAGUCACUUUUAAUCCGGAAUAGCUCCCUCCACGACCUUUUGAAAAAUGUUUUAAAUUUUAUCUUUCAUACGGGUCUUUCUGGCUCUGCAGAAGGCACCACAAGCUAGAUGUCUUCAUGCUUGAAUAUCCCAGAGGCAUUUUUUAUUAUUAUUAUUGGUUGGAACAGCAAGAAAUAAAGACUAAGAUACAGAGUGAGACUCUUGUCUAAAACAAAACAAAAAACAAAAAAGAUAGAGAACGCUAAUAGAAUCGUAGCAGCAGAGGUUCUAUAAGGUCACCUAAUUCCUGUUCCUCAACUGUACUGUAGAUAGCCAUCACCAAGUUUACUUCUACUUAAGGCAGUAUUUACAAUUCACACUCCUCUAAUUGUUAGAAUGCUUUAACCUGUGAGGCAGGAGAAGCAUUGGCAUGGCAGGGGAUCCUAGGCUCAAGGGGCGGCCGAGGGGUUGGGCAUCUCACUGGCAGUGUUGCUGCUUCUUCUCCCUAACAUUUACCUGCUCCCCUUCUUCACUGUUUUAUUUAUUUAUUUAUUCAUUUAUUUAGAGAUGGAGUCUUGCUCUGCUGCCCAGGCUGGAGUGCAGUGGUGCGAUCUCAGCUCACUGCAACCUCUUGCCUCCUGCUGUUUUCUUGCCUUUCUAAGCUUCUUGAGGCUGCCUGCAUUCUUUGGCUUGUGGCCCCUUGCUCCAUCUUUAAAGCCAGCACUGGAACAUCUUCGAAGUGCUGACUCUGACCUGUGAGCCUCCUCUUAUAAGGAUCUUUCUCACUACAUCUGGCACCCCCAGAUGAUCCAGAAGAAUCAACCAUCCACCACAAUUUUUUUUUUUUUUUUUUUUUUUGAGAUGGAGUCUCACUUUGUUGCCCAGGCUGGAGUGCAAUGGCGCAAUCUCAGCUCACUGCAAAUUCUGCCUCCCAGGUUCAAGUGAUUCUCCUGCCUCAGCCUCCUGAGUAGCUGGGAUUACAG
rnacentral:lncRNA from 1 species